AAUUUGCACGGGGUGUUCAUUGUUUGGUCAGUUCUACGCUAGACUUCGAUCAGUAAACUUGUGUUCGUCUACAAAUCCUGCAUCGUGUUGUUGACUUUAGCAGAACACAGGGUGUCCAUGCUGCAAGAUUUGGAACGCAUCAUAGAAAAGAUAAGUGCUAAAAGAAAUGUAAAUCUGUUAAAUCCGUUAUACUGAAUCUCGAGCAUAGUAUCGAGUGUUACGAAGUAGUAACAGAGUUGAAACGAUGUAUAUUUCAAGUAACAAUUUCAGCACUAGAGAAAGCCGAGCAAUUUACAAAUAGAAAUAUUGAUGGCACGUGACAGAAAAUUCACAGGUCAUUAAUGGUAGAACAUGACAAAAGCUUUCGAACUUACUGGGGAAUAAUUGCUAUUCUUUGUGGUGUUGUAUACAUUCUAUAUGUAUAUGUGUAAAUGUUUUACGAGUCUAAUGACGUAAUGUUAUUUGUAGAAAAAUACAAGGUAGAGGCGAUGGCAUAUAAAAAGGCGGAAACAUAACGCCACGCGGCGCUCUUGACGGGUCAUAUCAGAAGCCGGAAGCUUCAUCUAACAUCGCAACACAAGGUGCUGAAACUCAAUUACCAUUGAGACGCACUGGACUAUGUUUCGCAUGUGGCGAACCGGGUCAUCGGAAAGGAGCAGCUGGCAGUUCAGCAAACAGCUCGACCAAUAAGAAAUGUUUUGAGAGGUAUUCUGAAGGAGCGAUUAGAGGGCUCGGGCUUACAUGGGCUUCGAAGAGAUUAGAUGGCGGACAGAAUGGCUAAGUAAAUACUUAGAACAUUCAAGAGCAGACAAUACGGUGAAGAAAAGAAUUCUUCAUGUGCACAUUUCAAAUACUGUGAAGAAAAUGUAGUCGCCAUGCCAGCCUUACAUAUAUCAGUAGUAAUGUACUUGGCUCAAUUGAUGGAUCGAGGAAAUCUAAUAACGUUUUUUACAUCUGUGUUUUACAGUAUUAAAUGGAUCCAUUCUAUUAAUAGUGUACAUGAUCCAAAGAAAGAUUUAACAAACUAUUAUAAGAAGCUUCAAAGCGUGUGUGCUUCAAACCAUUUCACAAGAAAGAUGUAUCAUGUACAUGUGCAUUCAUUAGAGAUGAUACAAACAUUGUGUUUGAUAUAAGGAGAUUCCACUGUUUUCAUUGAUUGAUCAUUUUUGGGUUAUGCAUGUACAUGUAUCAUGCAUAUUAACAAAUUAAGUGAGUUUCAUUGUAAUGACCUACAAUUGAAAUCUGAUCACUUUGGUAUUAGUGUACGCCAUUAUAAUACUGGCAUGUAUACGAAUGGUUCGUAUAUUAUAAUUGCAAAAUGUACAACUACAACUUCCCAUGUGGCGUUUUAUUAACAAAUAUGUAAUUAGCAAAUUGGUCAGAUGAAUCAAAUGAUUUUUUGUUAAAACCAGUUAUUGGUUAUAUAUAUGUAAUUAUUUAGACUAGCUAACGCCGAGGGCGUGUUUUAGAGAUGUUUGAAGCGACAUGGUCGAUGGAAGUCUGAUAGGGCUAAAGAUGGGUACAUUGAUGAUUCUCUAGACAAAAAGCUUUUUAUCACUAGACAAUUGAAAUUAUAAUUGAUUUGCGGUUCGAAUUUAAAACCUUACUAACCUUUGUUUUUGUUCUAUCGCAAGCCUUGCCCAAUGCAAAACGUGUUGUGUUUUGUGCUUAGUUGUGUGAAGACUUUUCAGUUCUGUGCGUUACGGAGUAUAGCACAGAACGUAUGUCUAAACAUAACGCACCGCACAAAACAAGUAUAUGUGCGGUUCGUUCAUGCGUGUGGUUGUCACGUGAGUGAUGGUCACUAAGGUGGACAUAGGCGGGAAUUUGCACGGGGUGUUCAUUGUUUGGUCAGUUCUACGCUAGACUUCGAUCAGUAAACUUUUACUUUUUUAAAUUCGAACCGCAUUAGAAGUAAAUUGGCUCAAAUGACAUGUUAUGUUUGUGUUACAUAAUGUUUAGUUACAUGUUAAUAUUGGUUGUUUUCAGGUACAGUUUUCCAGAGUUAUUUUACAUUGGGCUUCUGAUGAAUUUUUAUCUCUGGUUUUUACCCUGGCCAUGAAAACACCAAUUAAGGACACAAUACUAGAAGUGAUGUAUACACAUUAUAGUUAUAAUUUGUUAUAUAAUUUAUAGUUCGAAAAUUGUCCUGUCAAGGUUGUACUACGAUUGUACUUGAUUGAUAUAUGAUACGAAUAUGUAAUAUUCGUGGAUGUGUGUUGUCAAUAAACUGAUCGCAAGCCUUGCCCAAUGCAAAA